rnacentral:rRNA from 1 species
UACGUAGGUGACCAGCGUUGUCCGGAUUUACUGGGCGUAAAGAGCGCGCAGGCGGUCGUUCAAGUCGAGUGUGAAAGCCCCCGGCUCAACUGGGGAGGGUCAUUCGAUACUGAUCGACUCGAAGGCAGGAGAGGGUAGUGGAGUUCCCGGUGUAGUGGUGAAAUGCGUAGAUAUCGGGAGGAACACCAGUGGCGAAGGCGACUACCUGGCCUGUUCUUGACGCUGAGGCGCGAAAGCUAGGGGAGCAAACGGG